GCUGUGUGUAAGAACAGAGAAAGAAAGAAAAAAGAAGAGAAAAGAAAGGGGGAAGAAGAAGAAGAAAAAUUGGGGCUUUGAGGUUUCUUACUCAAUCUUCUCAAUUGGGGGUCAAAAUUCUCAAAGGUCAGCAUGUCACUCUUCGAGAUGUUUGAUUUGGGCUGAGGCAGUGGAUAACUAUUCAGAAUUAUGGGCAAGUCUUGUUGGUUGUUAUGUUAUUGUUGUAUAAGCAUAUUUUGUAUGUAAUGAAAUGUUGUUGAUGAAUCGAAAUGGAUAUACUGUGUAAAAGUGUUAGAAGAUCUCUCUUAUUUGGAAUUUCGAAAUGUUAAGCCUAAUUUAUGAUGAUAUGAACUUGUGGUGAAUAGUUGGAGUUCUGAUUGUAUAAUUUA